CUCCCCGCCACCGCCUCCCCGCCCGUUCUCCUCUCUGCGUGCUUCCGUUGCCCCUCUUCGCCGCCGCUCCUCCUGCUCUCCGCUGCUGCCGCCCCCGUUUGCUUCUCCUUCCUGUGCGCCGCCUACCAAACGCCGUCAGCCCGCCACCCUCCUCCCUCAUUCGGUCCUCCCUCACCGGAUCCAUGCCACCCACACUCUCCUUUCCCUCUCACGUCCCGAUCUGAAUCCUCCAUCACCCAAUUCCUCUUCUCGAUUCGCAUGCGGGAGGCCAUGGCGAGGCCACGCGCCGGCGGCGGUUCCGGCUGCGAGCGGAUGAGGUUGUAGGCGCAGGCGGUGGCUGGGUUGUGCCACAACCCAACCCAAAUGGGCUGCGCCUCGCUCCUCCCACUCCCGAUUCCUCCCAAUCGCCCCAAACCCACCUCGCCGGGAAGCGCAGAGAGCCUGAACCAUUGCCAUGGCGAGCACAUCGGCGGCGGCCGGGCCCUCCUCCUCUUCUUCCCCGCAGGCCGGCGGGGGCGGGGACGCGCCGCGGCAGCGUCGGUCCCCGCGCGCCGGCUCCGACCCGCUCCCCAUCGUCCGCGGCUGCUUCAGCGACGUCACGCCACCACCUCUUUCUCUCUCUCUGAAUUUGUUGCUGUGUUGCGCAAUAUGUUUCUCUCAGCCUUUCUGAUGGGGAAUCUAAAACUACUAGCGUUGUAGGCAUUCAGUGAUGACUCAUGAUUCAGUUUUUGCCUUACUAGUGGUAGAAUGUUUUCUUCGUUGUGCCAUUUUACAAGGUAACCGUCGGUUGAUUCAUGAACUUAACCUACUUUUUCCCUGCAAGCACUAUGGAUUCACCUGGCAAUCACAUCAAGUUGUCAAGAAAAAUCACAUAGGCAUCUGCUUGGCUUCUUGCUGUUCUUCGGCCUCACCCUAUUGCAUCUCGGCAAGUACUUCCCCCAGGUUGCUGAUUUGAUUGGGCGCCUUUCCUGGUAAGCUUCUCUUCAGGUUCUGCUACUUUAUGUUAGUGCAAAUUGGUUAAUUUUGUUCAAUGCUUGGUCGGAAUUCGUAGAGCAAUUAAUCUGAUGUUACAGUGACACUAGGGAGACUCCAUAAAUUAUCUUUGGCAUUUUGACAAAGGGUAUCUGUUUUUUCACAACAAGGUGUAUGUAUUGUUCAGAAUAGCACUGAUUAUCUGUUUGAUUAGUGCUUUUUCAAAAGAAAGGUAAAUAUUAGCAGGUACGUAGAACUGAUGUAGUGUUAGUAAUUAAUAAAAAUGCCUCAUUAUUUCAGAAUAUUGUAUCCUACAUAUUCUGUCUAUUACAUUCUAGUACUAAUGUUGAAAUCUAUUUUUUUAUAGGGUAUUGUGUACUACCUCCGUCCCAAAAUAUAGUCAUUUGUUGACUUCUGCUAAUCAUAUUUGAUCAUUCGUCUUAUUCAAGAAAUUUGUGAAAAUAUUAUUUAUUUUGUUAUGAUAUGUUUUAUCAUCGUAUAUAUUUGAAGUAUAUCUUAAUUAUUUUUAUUUUUUCUCAAAUUUUUUGAAUAAGACGAAUGAUCAAACAUGAUCAGCAAAAGUCAACAAAUACUUAUAUUUUGGGGCGGAGGUAGUAGCAGGUAGUAAGUGAUCGAUGAUAACUUCUAUAAAUAUUCUGAAGAAGGUAGGAGAAUCAGCGGAAGGUACAAGCAGUUGGCAUGAUUGAAAGUUUGACCAAGCAAUAGCCAUUGAGAUGAGUAGGCAAUUUAUUCAUCUCAUGCUAUUUUCUAGAUUCAUGAUGAAAUGGUACAUUGUUUAGUGAUUUGGACAUGUGACUUAGCUAUCUUGUUGGGUACUGUAUUUUCCUUAAGACUAUGUGAUUGUGCUACUGUAUCUGUGCCACUAGAAUUAAUAAAUGAUAUAUCUUGUGUGAAUC